rnacentral:lncRNA from 1 species
GUCUUUCGGACCGGACUCGGGUAUAUCUUUGAUCCGAUUCGGAUCCGAGCUCGAAAUCCAGCUCAAUUAAGAGCCUAAUCAAGUCCCUUCUCUCAGUCCCCUCCCAUCCAAAUGGAGUCUGCCCCUUCAAAUCCCUUCUCCUAGUCCCUCUUGAUCGCCCCCAUGCCCCAGCCAUUCCUAGACCUCCCUGAGGGCUCCCGCUCAUCUUUGUGUAGAAGGGCAAAGUGCAAAGCAUCCAC